UGAUAAUCGCAAAAAGCAAGGCAACUUGAACGGCUCAGCUCGAGAAGAAACAAGGCGGAGAUUGGAGAGUGAGAGCAAUGGCGUAUCUGGCCAGCCGGCGCAACUUAGCAUCGCUCCUUACCCGAACCGUAGCUUCUUGUUAUUCGUCGUCUUCACUAUCUUCUCGUUUUCUUUUUUCUCUCCUAGAGAAAAACACACUGUUUCAACUCCUCCCGGAUUCUGGCAAAAUCCCGGCCCGAUUCAAAACUUCAGGGUCGGGUUACUCGCCCCUGAACGACCCGUCUCCAAACUGGAGCAACCGGCCUCCAAAAGAAACUAUCCUUCUGGAUGGCUGCGACUAUGAGCACUGGCUAAUCGUUAUGGAGUUCCCAACUGACCCGAAACCCACCGAAGAGGAAAUGAUCAAUGCCUAUGUCAAAACCCUUGCUGCUGUUGUGGGCAGCGAGGAGGAGGCCAAGAAGAAGAUUUAUUCGGUUAGCACGGUAACGUAUACCGGGUUUGGUGCUUUGAUCUCUGAGGAGCUUUCCCACAAAGUUAAAGGGCUGCCUGGUGUUCUUUGGGUUCUGCCAGAUUCAUAUCUUGAUGUUCCUAACAAGGAUUAUGGAGGGGACUUGUUCGUGGAUGGGAAGGUCAUCCACAGGCCUAUAUAUUGGUAUAACCAGAGACAGCAAAGUAGGAACAGGCCCCGCCCAAGGUAUGAUAGGCGCCGUGAAACAAUGCAGGUUGAGAGGAGAGAGCCAAGACAAAGACCACCUUCAAUGCAGGCUCAGGAGUCAGCUCAGGGCGGAGGGACAGAUUUAUCCCUGAACCAGGGGCGGUUUAACCAGGGUACUUGAGAAUUCACUAUAUAGUUAUUUAGCACAAGAAUUUAUUUUGUACUUGCAAAAAUUUAGAUGUUAGAAUGUCAAAUUAUGAAUUAUCAUUUUCCUUUUCUGUUGGAUACAGACUUGUUUCUUGCACAUUGAGUUUCGUAGUAAACUUGUGUGUUUUGUCUGACAUCUUUUACAGAUAAAUGAAAACAGUCCAGAAGACUCGCAUUUC
rnacentral:misc_RNA from 1 species